rnacentral:misc_RNA from 1 species
AAGUCGUAACAAGGUUUCCGUAGGUGAACCUGCGGAAGGAUCAUUAAAAAUUUAUAUCCGGGAAUUCGUUUCGUUUUCCCGUGAUUAUUUGUAUUCAAAUCCCACUCUUUAUAAAUAUAUUAAUUAUUAUAUAAAACAAAAAUAAAAAAGAAAACUUUCAACAACGGAUCUCUUGGCUCUC